UACGGAGGGUGCAAGCGUUAUCCGGAUUCACUGGGUUUAAAGGGUGCGUAGGUGGGCAGGUAAGUCAGUGGUGAAAUCUCCGGGCUUAACCGGGAAACUGCCAUUGAUACUAUCUGUCUUGAAUACCGUGGAGGUGAGCGGAAUAUGUCAUGUAGCGGUGAAAUGCUUAGAUAUGACAUAGAACACCAAUUGCGAAGGCAGCUCACUACACGAAUAUUGACACUGAGGCACGAAAGCGUGGGGAUCAAACAGG
rnacentral:rRNA from 1 species